AAAUAAGAAGCAAUAUACUGCAUUCAGUUUCGACCUGAAAAUAGGUGAUAUCACCCUUAUUUA
rnacentral:tRNA from 1 species